rnacentral:sRNA from 1 species
GCCAAGGCAGCUCCAGCGAUUGCAAUCGACACGAAUAUUGAGGCGGCUCGUGCUGACAAAGAAGCCAUCAAACCAUAUG